rnacentral:lncRNA from 1 species
AAAGGUGAGGAUUACAUCCAACCAUUGCAAGACGUCUGGUAAUUUUCCAGAGUUCUGCUAUCUUAUGCAUGUCUACUCAAAGGUAAGCUUCCCUUAGUUGAAUACUGCGUCUUCAAGGUGCCCCUUCCCUCGCCCCAGUCAUAACAAAGCAGUACAAGCUCAAGAGGCAAUCCUAGAUUUGCACUUUGAAGGGUGCUUUUAAAAUAGUUUGGAAAUGGCUGUUCUCGUUUUGGAUCCAUCAGCUUUCUUGGUGGAAACUGGUGACUGCCUAAUGUAGAAAAUUAAUCCUGGGGAGCUGUGAGCAAAGUCACUUAUGCACAAAGCAGAGAUAAACUUAAGUAUUAUCAGUAGCUGGCUUUCUUAACCAGAAAACUAACCACACGGGACACAAAGCAGAAUGUUUGCAAACGAAGUUGUGCUGGGAGGGUUGAGAAGGCCAGAAUCAUUGACCUUUAUGGGGGGGGGUGAGUGAAGUAUUGGGGAUGGCAUGAUGGGGGGGGGAAGGCUUUGCAGCAGCAUAUAUUGCUGAUAUAUGCUCUCCACUUCCUUGAACGGUUUUGUUUCCUCUGAAUGAGAGUGUUAUUAAUGGUGUCUGUGUGAUAACCAUUUUAUUUACAAAUAUACAUGCAGACCAUGUUGGAUGCAAAGUGACACACCUAUAGGAGGCAACAAGGUUGCCAAACCUGCACCUGAUGCUCAGGAAAGAUCCUGCACCCUUGGGUGCAUCAUCUUCAACCAGCUCACAGUUCUGUGCCUGCAGUCUCUUGGCUCCUACAAAUGCAAACAACAAAACUGGUUCCAAAAUUAUUUCUUCCCUCCCUUAAGUUUUGAAGACUGCAAUCCACGUGCAUGGCAGUAAAUCUCACCAAUUUGGUGAGGAUUUAUUCUGAGUUUACUUGUAUAUGAUUGCACCGGAAGCGUGUGUCACCUCCUCAAAUUUUGAUGCUUAUUUUAAAGGCAAAAGAAAUUCCCAGCUAUCAGGGAAAUAAGUCUGGUCAUUAAACAUUAAACUUCUUUUGUUAGAUUACAUUUAUUUGUUUAGUCUGGGUUUAUUAGAAACUGUUAACAUGCAAAUGAUAAAACACAUACACUAUAGAAACACACACACACCCAGUAAGGUCUUUUCUAUUUGGUCACAACAGCUCCCACAAACUAGGGAAAAGAUGGACACAAAUAGUAAAAAAAAACCCCAAAAUUUAAAUUGUGUCUUAUGUAGGUAGAAGUUAAGGGUGAGUUGUGGGUCUGAAAUAUUUGAAUAUUAUUGGUCUAUUACCCAAUCCAGGACAUGUGAUUUCAUAUAAUUUGAGCCAAACUUUAAGGCAUGUGCUAAAUACUUUUUUAAAAACAAAAAGAACUCUGAAUCAAUAUAAAUCCUUUUUUUAAAAAAACUACCAAGAAAAAUUUCUUACAUUGUUCACAUUGUUGCCCUUUCCCCCUUAUGGGGUAUCCAAGAGCCCAUAUAGAGUCCUUACAUAGGUUCCCUAUUGGUAGGAGAAAAUAACAGAGGCCAACCAGAGAAUAUUGAGAAGCAAGCAGCUAGUAAGCCCUCAAAAUUCCUAUCACAACAUUGAGGGUACACUUAUAUAAAGAACCCUAAGCAGAUGCACAACUGCUAUGGUAUGCUUAAGGACAAACAUAGUUUGGAAGGUGAGUCAAUUAAUUUGUGCAAGUUUGUAAUUGUUCACAUUGCAAUUGGUAACUAAGUACACAACUAAGUACAUGGGAUGCCGCAGUUUCAUCGCAUGCAGAAGUCUGGCAACCUAUUGAACAAACUAGCCACCUAUUCCCAUCCAACCUGCAGUGGGUAGCCACUAGGAAAGUCUUUCACAGUCUUGCCUCUGGCAGAUAGGUAUGGGCAAAUCUGUCCAUUUCUGAUUCCCGCCGUUUCUCACUAUUUCUCAUUUUAAGUUCAAUUCUCCACAUUUCCACAUCAGCUUGUAAUUCUUUUUGUAAUACAAAAACUCCUUAUAAAAAUUUAUCAGGCUUGUAGUGUGAAUUUAUCCUAACAUACACAAGUUUGUAUGCCAUUUCCCCUAAUACGCUCAUUUUUGCAAAACAAUUUUUCCUAAUAUAAUGAAUUAUUGCAUGCUUUCGUCACUAAUAUGUGCAUUUUUAUGAACAUUUUGCUUCAGUAUGUGCAUUUUUGUACACCUUAUAAAAAUGUAAAACUCACCCCUCCCCCCAAAAAAGCUAUUUGGAACAAGUGAAAAAUAUGGUAAAUGUGAGGUCCUUCUCCCUUAAGGUUUUAGAAGCUGUUUCUUGUAGUGAAACAAGGCAGUGUAUUAAAAAGACAAACCAAAGGGUCUUGGGACAGCUACGCGCUACGUACACCACACAGUUUUCUCAGUUUUACCACUAUCUUAAGAUAAGUUUUGGCCUCCCUGAUUAUUUCUCUGAGUUAUCUGUCUGGGAGACACUGCUACCUUCUACUUUCAAAGAAUGCCUUCCCCAUACUUACCAGAGAAGAUCCACUUAAUUUCCUUGUAGCACAAAUUUGCUCCCAGGAAGAAUUGGACAGUUUUGUACACUAUAUAUUGUUUGUUGCUCUUUGUAUACUUCCUCAAUGGAAAUGUUUUUGAAGUAAAAUUAAAUAACACUUCCUUUUUAAAAUAAUACAUUGAUACUUGAUAUCUGAUGGCUGCCAUGUUUUGGCUGAGCUACCUAAAUAAUUUGAUAAAUUUGCUUGUGGCAUCUUGCAAUGGCAACUAUUUACAACAAACAGCCUGUCUCCCUCCAACAACUGGUUUUGUUAGCUGGUUUCUGUGCAGCAUGCAUCCUUGUCCCAUGUUUGCAAUGGUUUGGUGGUUUUAAGCAACUCUUGUGUUUUCCAAAAUUUGUCUAUCGUCUCCUACGUUUAGAUAUUUAAGCUACAGAAAAGAUCCAUGUGCAAAUAAACAAUGCAAUUUCUUCAUAGCAAAGAAUGAAAUGAUAAGAACUCACAAGGUGGAGGUGGUGGGAAGAGGGCUACAUUAUAUUAACAGAUAUGGAAGACACUUGGAAGGCAUUAGUUUAAAGAUUCAAAUAGUUUCACAGGAGGCCUUUGUUAAUGUUUAAAUAGCUUUAAAGGUAAUAAACUGAUUAUUUAGAUUAUAGGGAUAUGUGACAACAACUCGGAGGGGCAAUAAUAUUUCUUAAUUUUCUGCAGAAAUCCCCCAAGUUGUAUCAAAUAAAGUAAUAAAGAAGGGUUUAGCAUAAUAAAGAAGAUUUGCCAAACUUUUCUAGUUUCCUCAUCUAGUAGUCCUAAUAUGAAAAUCCUGAUUAUUUUUCAGUAACUUGCAUAAAAAUGCUCAUUUUGCAAUCUCACCCACCUCUUUAAAUGUCAGAUAAUCAGUAAACAUCAAUCAAUCAAGC